GUGGAUUAGAUACCCUAGUAGUCCACACAGUAAACGAUGAAUACUCGCUGUUUGCGAUAUACUGCAAGCGGCCAAGCGAAAGCAUUAAGUAUUCCACCUGGGGAGUACGCCGGCAACGGUGAAACUCAAAGGAAUUGACGGGGGCCCGCACAAGCGGAGGAACAUGUGGUUUAAUUCGAUGAUACGCGAGGAACCUUACCCGGGCUUAAAUUGCAUAUGAAUAUGUAGGAAACUAUAUAGCCGCAAGGCAUAUGUGAAGGUGCUGCAUGGUCGUCGUCAACU
rnacentral:rRNA from 1 species